AGAAAGUCUGGGCUAGAGUCUCUGACUCCAGCCCAGUGUCUUUCCGUGACACAAGCCAGUAGUUCCGAGAGCCAGCAGGGCUUCUAGGACAGCAUCCCCCCGUGGGAAGAUCUGGGCUGAGAGGAACUGGGCACGCACCGUCGGCACCGAGACAGCAACACACAACACGGAGGAGAUAUUGUGAUAAGUCCGGAGCCAACAGAAGGCCCUACACCUGCAACAGAAAGCACUCUUAACCAUUCUUCUAUAAGAAGGUCACCAUUGCUUGUCAAGACAGAAAUGCAAGGGACAGGUGGGCCACAGUGGAGGGGCUUUUGAAAAUGCAAUGUCCCAAAUUAAACAUACCAGGUGCAGUGCUUAUUUCAAAUUUG